rnacentral:rRNA from 1 species
UGCGAAGGUGGAUUAGUAAGUCGGAUGUGAAACCCCUGGGCUUAACCUAGGAAUGGCAUCUGAUACUGCAAAUCUAGAGUAUGGUAGAGGGUAGUGGAAUUUCCGGUGUAGCGGUGAAAUGCGUAGAUAUCGGAAGGAACACCAGUGGCGAAGGCGGCUACCUGGCCCAAUACUGACACUGAAGUACGAAAGCGUGGGUAGCGAGCA